UACGUAGGGGGCAAGCGUUGUCCGGAAUUAUUGGGCGUAAAGAGCGUGUAGGCGGCCAGGUAGGUCGGUUGUGAAAACUGGAGGCUCAACCUUCAGACGUCGACCGAAACCCCCUGGCUAGAGUCCGGAAGAGGAGAGUGGAAUUCCUGGUGUAGCGGUGAAAUGCGCAGAUAUCAGGAAGAACACCCGUGGCGAAGGCGGCUCUCUGGGACGGUACUGACGCUGAGACGCGAAAGCGUGGGGAGCGAACAGG
rnacentral:rRNA from 1 species